AAUAGAUAAAAUAAACAUGGAUAAACGUUUUCCUUUACGAAUGAUUGCUUUACUGGUGACUUUCCACAUAGCCGUUUGUCAAGAUAGAUCUGGAUCGGAUAAUGAAACAGGAAACUCUUCUAACCUAAGUGGUCUUUAGAUAGGUGUUGCAUUAGCUGGCGUCCUUAUGGUUUUCAUGAUUAUUGGUAGUUUUUUUGUGAUUCAAAGAAAAAUGAAAAACAAAAACGAAAUUUUAUUACUGCAAAGGAAACUUACCGAAAUAGAGGGAUAUCGUUUGAACAUUGAGAUAGAAAAGAUUGACCAUUGAAAAGAGAAGACUUGAAAUUGUUGAAGAAAACAAACUUGCAUUCUCUGCGGCUUAAUUGAAUCAAUUUCUAUGAUCUGC